UCCCGGGAACGUAUUCACCGCGACAUUCUGAUUCACGAUUACUAGCGAUUCCGACUUCACGCAGUCGAGUUGCAGACUGCGAUCCGGACUACGAUCGGUUUUAUGGGAUUAGCUCCACCUCGCGGCUUGGCAACCCUUUGUACCGACCAUUGUAGCACGUGUGUAGCCCAGGCCGUAAGGGCCAUGAUGACUUGACGUCAUCCCCACCUUCCUCCGGUUUGUCACCGGCAGUCUCCUUAGAGUGCCCACCAUUACGUGCUGGUAACUAAGGACAAGGGUUGCGCUCGUUACGGGACUUAACCCAACAUCUCACGACACGAGCUGACGACA
rnacentral:rRNA from 1 species